AACAAACGCUGGCGGCGUGCCUAACACAUGCAAGUCGUACGAGAAAGGGUCCUUCGGGGCCUGAGUAAAGUGGCGCACGGGUGAGUAACGCGUGGAUAAUCUGCCCUUCAGUUGGGAAUAACUCAUCGAAAGGUGGGCUAAUACCGAAUAAUGCUGUGAGACCUCGGUUGAUCAGCCAAAGAGAGCCUCUGCUUGCAAGCCCUCGCUGAAGGAUGAGUCCGCGUACCAUUAGCUAGUUGGUAGGGUAAUGGCCUACCAAGGCGACGAUGGUUAGCUGGUCUGAGAGGAUGAGCAGCCACACUGGAACUGAGACACGGUCCAGACUCCUACGGGAGGCAGCAGUGAGGAAUCUUGCGCAAGGGGGCAACCCUGACGCAGCAACGCCGCGUGAGUGAGGAAGGUCUUCGGAUCGUAAAGCUCUGUCGGAUGGAAAGAACUGCAUAGGGGUAAACAGCCCCUGUGUCUGACGGUACCAUCAAAGGAAGCACCGGCUAACUCCGUGCCAGCCGCCGCAGUAACAC
rnacentral:rRNA from 1 species